AGCUCUUAGCCCUGGGUCUUCGCCCGAGCACUUUGGCUUUUUGUCACCUUCCGGGCUUUUAGCCCUGGGUUUUUGCCUGUGCACUUCUGCUCUUUGUCAUUUUUCGGGAUCUUAGCCAUGGGUCUUCGUUUAAGCACUUAGGCUUUUAGAGUCUUCCGAGCUCUUAGUCUUGAGUCUUCGUCCGACCACUUUGGCUUUUAGUGUCUUUCGGGCUCUUAGCCCUAUGUAACAGCCCGCAAAUCGGAC
rnacentral:lncRNA from 1 species